ACUAGGUGCCGUCACGAUGGUUCACGGAAGGCGAACCAGGGUCGUGACAGUGAGCUAAAUCUCUGAUUCUAAUAGUUAAGAGACAAAUGGAUAAAUUGUUAAUGCAGUGGUACUUUUCAAGGUAGAACCUUGGAUUGUUCUUUUUUUCUGAUCCUUCUAAACUUAAGUUUCAAGAACCAUAUACAGGAGUGAUGAGAUAUACAUGGCUGCGUGAAGGAACCAACUCCGAUAUUAUUUUCUCUAAUAUCUUUUCGUUUGAAGUCUUGCUUUCUCUCUUACUUUGCUAUUUCAUAUGUCUUUCUCUAGCCAGUUCUCGUUUACAGUUGUGUUUCUUGCAGAAAAUAUUGUUUACAAUUGAAGGGGAAAACAACAUCAAGCAGAAGUCAACAACUGUGUACCUUGUCCUCCAUGGUGGCUUCUAACCUUUUAUUGGUGGUCGUUAUGUUGUGUCGGGUGUCGUUACUUUCUGUUUAGUCGUCUGUUGUUUUCCAUGAUGUGCAGUGUCGAUUGGGAAACUGGAGUUGAAUUUUCGUGUGGUUCUGUUUAUUGUGACUGCUGCGUUUUGGUGUUGUGAAUAAGCAAGAGGAUGCAUAUUUGAAUAUCCUGUGCUCUUUUGGUGGUAGUUUGUGAAUUUUGUCUUGCUCCCCUUUCACCAUUGAUGGAGCUGAUCUACAUUUCCUCUGAUGCCACUCCUGCUUGAUAAUUGAUGGUCAGGAGGGCAGAAGACGAUAUUGACAAUGAUGAGAGGAGAGCAUUAUGCACCUCUAUUCACUUCUUUAAUAUCGGCUCUGGCAGGCUGUUUGGUAAUUAUGCUUAGCAUUCCUAGCUUUUACUUGGCUUCUAGCUUAAGAUUGAUUCGACAACAUCAGGUCCUGGAUUUUUUCUUCACUUCAAGUAUUUUGAAUCCUAGAUCUAAUUUUUCCAGUUAGGAUAUCUCACGUCCUCGGCAGUACGUGUUACUCACAGUGAGUUUGUGUUCAACAGCGACAAGGUAGACUUUACUGAUAAAAACUGCAAUAAGAGACGCACAACAAGCUUACUUACUGGUUUUCUAGUAAUAAGUAUAAGGCGAUUUAAUAAUCAACAGUGCUUCCAACUUUUUUGGGAUAAGGUUCGACGCUGCAUACAUUUCAGACAACCUUGAUCCGAGUGACAUCACCAAAUGAUUUUUUCUGAAUCUGGAAGAAAUUCGAGCACCACGAGGCUGACGGUAAUUAUCUUGGUAUGAAGUUGAUGCCAUAUGGGCAGUUAAAAACUAUUGGAGCCUCUGCUGAUACUGUUGGCUCCAAUGAGGCUCCAACAAGGGGAGCACCCUAAUUAGCAACUACUCAUGGAGUGCAUAUCAUCUCUUGAGGUGCAUCACUUGAGUCUUCCCUAUCUCUUUUCCUUCAAAUAGAGGGGCAUGAGUUAAGCAUAUAGUUGAUUGCUCUUUCGUCUCUCUCUGUAGGCUAACAGAGCCACUGCUCUUCGAGGUGAUGAGGUGUAAGGAAUAUAAUAUCUAAUAGCAAUAAGAAAGAAGGUAUAUAAUAUCUAACGCUAAUAGUUAAAGACCACUGGUUAAACUGUUUAUGCAGCUCUAUUCUUUAAGGUAGAAUGUUGGAUUGCUUGUUUUCUCCGAUCCUUCUAAACCAAGUUUCAAGAACCAUAUACAGGAGUGUGAUGAGAAAAUAGAGUGUGAAGCGAGACCACCAUCAGACGGCCAUUCUCUUCCCAUAGUUUUCCCUUUCAAGUCUUGUUUUCUCUCUGACAUCGUUAUUUCAUGUAUUUUUCUCUUAGGUAAUUUCUCAUGUAAAAUUGCAUCUGAAGACAAAUGUCUCGGUUGUUUUACACCUGUUACGGUAAUUAGAGCAAGGCAAUGACAGCGUCCGAGAACUUACUCAAUUUGUCUGUAUGUGCCAGCCCAUGAAAGACUGGGUACUAUAAGAGUAAUAUUUAUUAGUUAUCUGUUAAACAUUUAUGUACAAGAUGUCUGCUACAAUUCUAAAAAAAGCAUUUGUACGAGAUGUGAAAGGAAUUUUGAGCAGUUAUGUUGUUGAUCAGGCAAAGUUGUCAAUUUGUUGCAUCAAUGGUCAAAGGGGGCAAGAAUAGAGGCUCUCCAGGGGCUCUGUUUAUGGGCUAUUCUGGAGGUUAGGAUAUCUUUGUUUCCUUUUUCACUUCGGCACAUUUUAUGCUUUUAGACAUUAUAUGUGAAUUUUUAGUGCUAUUACUUGGGUACAUUGGGCUCUAACUAUUUCUCAACACUAGUGGCAGUGUUGUACCUUCACUUUCAUCACUUGGGCUUCAUGGUGGUAAGCUUUGAAGGAAGGUCUCCAGUUCUCAUGGGUCAUCUAUAUAUGUCAUUGGUCUUUUGCAGGAGGUGCUCAACAUGAAAUGUUGGGAGGAAUAGUGAGGGAUGUCAUUUUCACUGUUCUCAAAAAGGGAAAAAAAGAGAGGCGAUUGUGAAUUGCGAUGGAAUUGUUAUGAUGCACAAUUAAUUUGCUUACUUCUACUGUCUUAACAACCUGCACGUUGGUCUGUUGUGCUUCUUUUGAGUUUUCUUUUUGGUGGGUGCUUUCAAGGUUAGUUCGUUGAUCAAUCACUAUGUGCCAGUUGGCUUGAUAGUAAUGAGGAUUGAUGAGGGUAUUCUGCAUAUAGAAGGUUUUUGACUUGCUAUAUUAUGAGUAAAAGUGCCUUAUUUCAAUUGAAUCAUGCAUGUCAUGUCUUGUGGUACCCAUGCAAUUGGUCUAGCUAGUUUAUUUUGUCGAACCAAAGGAGGGAGAAGCAAAGAAAGAGCUUGUUUUGAGCCCGGUAUUGGAAAUCUCCUCUUUAACUUUGAGUUAUCUCAUCCUUUUUCGGUGUUUACGCGCUAAUCUCAAUUUCUUUAGUGUACUCACGUUGUUUAGGUAAGGUUAUGUCGGCUUGGUACACACUUUGACUAAUGCAUCGGGUACUUGCUACUCCCGCAAGCAUAUGUAUCUGGUAACUCUAUUUAUAGAAGAUUACUUGGUGUCUGUUUGGACCCUUGUUCCCAUGGUCCAUCUUGCUUCAUUACCCGCUAGGCAGCUUUAAUGUUGAGUCGGCAUCAUUGAUGCGAGGUGAACUUUUCAGUUGAUCCAUUUGGGAAGAAAGGCGUUAGCAUCCUGGAGUGCGUGAAGUGACUGUUUUCUUAAACAGGCUUGCACUGAAAAAAAGCUAUGCGGACAAUGACGAGACUGGAUAGUUGAGGUUUUUGGUGUUGAACACUCGCUUCCACUUGACUCGUCUUAUGGUUGUCCUCUGCGUUGUCAGGAAUAUUUAUCGCUGAUCUUGCCUCUGAAGCUGCUCUUGAGGUGCAAUGGGCAAGGUGGAUUUGCUUUCUCGUGGUUCUGAGCAUGAGGGUUGAGAUGGAAAAAUGAUAGCAGUGGAGCACCAAAGUUUGCACAUCAUCUUUGUUCAGAUAUACUUGCAUCUGUUCAAUGUGACUUUUUCUGUGGUUUUUUGGAUACAUGCUGAUGUUUAUGCACGUAAAUGGGCUUUCAGAAUGAAUGUGAAGCAAGUCCCGGAUUGUGUUCAGCUAUGGGUAACUGUGUGAAGAAUUUGAUAGUUUUAAUUGUGGGUAGUUGUUCUGCUUCGAGUGCUGGUGUGGCGGAACUUCUGAGUUAUUCUCUUUGAGAAAGAUUACAUGCCUGAUUAAUUGCAUGUAUCUGUCAUCAAUGUAAUUGGUUGGGAGGUUGUGAUUUUUGUGGCCCCACUGGUGGGAGAGGUUGGACUGCUGCUUGAUUUGAAUAUCUUAACGUUUGGCUUUGACUCAUGGAUGGGUCUCGUGUAUGUGGAUAAGCGUUGUUGGUGGUAUGGAAGUCCUACAGUUUACCUGUUCAUACAGAGUCCAGGCAAAUCUUAGCAUGUUGAAGCAGCAGAUUUGUUGGUGCUAUUCUGCUGCUUCCUCAUUUGUGGACAACUAUGCGAAUUUGGUCUCUAUCUAUCUAUUACUUUCUUCAUCUACUCGGAGAUUUGGCAGUGCUAUGGUGGCUGUACUACUCCAUUAGUCUUACGUGUCUAAUUUUUACAUGUUCUCGAAUGUCUUUAGCUACUUUGUUGGUCUUUGUGUCUAAGAGGAGGGUAUAGAUGUCUUUCCUGUUCACUCUGGUCAAUUUGGUACAGUAUUGGCGAUGGUUUUGCUUUUGCAGGAGGCAUAUGAAGAGUGCGAGAAGAUGCAAAGGGUUGCCAUAGAGAACUCUUUCCUACUGAACAUUGGAUUAUACCUCAUGAACACUACAGCAGUCAAUCGAGAGUCUUCUACACAUUUAGAAAGUUUCUGUAUAUUCCCGAACCUACGAGAAGGUUAGAACCUUUGGGAGGUACUUCCGUUCUAAUUUUUAGCAGUUGUAGAUCUGCGGGUCGCCUCUUGCUGUGUUGCACGAUUAUUCUGAUUCAAGCAUUCAUGCUUCUAUUCAAUGUAAGACCUACUGCAAUUCUUUCAAGCACUGGAUCAGAUGGGGCACAGAAGGAGAAGUGGUUUCUGUUAAAGCUCUAGCUAUCAGAGACUACACAUUAUCUUUGAUAUGAUCAAGCGGUGCAACAGAUUCUAUUAAUUACCUCCCCCCCCCCCCCCCCCCCCCCCCCCCGGCGCAGCAGAUUUGAAGUUUUUCUCCCUUAAGUUCUGUUGGUUGUGUUGAGCAGCAGAAUGGCGAGUAGUAGACCUAUAAUUGGGGUGGCUGCAAUCUGUUUCUGUCUUGUCUUGAGUUUUGACAAGAAGCAGUUGUGUUUCUGAUGGGUUGGCUCAGUUUUCUGUUGAAGUGGUGUUUUGCUUCUUCAUUUUGACCGUUUUGGGUUCUCUUGCUAGCUGCGAGCAUAGUUGCUUCUUUCAAUUAUAUGGACGGGUCUCCAAUAUCUAAGGAGCAGGGCGUAGAUCUUAUUUGUGAGUACAUUCCUUGCCUUUCUAGUAGAAUAUGUGUUUUCUAAAUCGUGAGCCGCACAAGAUAUUAGCCAAAUAUUAACAAUUUAGGGUAGUAUCUCAGCUUUGAAUUUACAGUCUAGCUCAUGUGUGCUGCACAGUACGAACCCUCUUUGGAGUUAUCAGGGGCAGAUUUUAUCGUGGUUUUUGAUUCUGUCUUGGUUUGGAAUUACUUGAGGCCCUACUGGUGGUGGAGAACUAUCCCAGCUGCUAUCUGGUGGACUAUUUGGAAGGAGAGAAAUGCAAAAUGCUUUGAAGAAUACAGCUAGCUGUAUGCAGAAGAUAAAAAAACAACUGUAUACUUCCGUCCUCUUUUUGAUGUAAAGAGGAUCUGAUAAAUGAUGCAGAAGCUCUGUUAGACACAGUUGAUUCCAUGCUGCUUUGAUGUGAAGCUGUAUAUUUCUUGUAAAUAUGCAAGCACAAUUCAUGCUGCUUUUAUAAUACUUACCCUUUUCUCAAAAAAAGAAAUUACUUAAGGCGCGCCUUUUUCAUUUUUAACGAGGCAUUGUAUUCCUAUGUUGCGCGGACUCUCCAAAAUGCUGCUACACCCGUAUCGGAUCCUCCAAAAAUACACUACUUUUGGAGGAUCCCACACAUAUCCAACGACAUUUUCGGAGAGUCCGAGCAACAUAGUUGUAUUCCAUGAGUUUUAAAUGUCUUUUGAGACUUGGACUCAAAAGGUGGAUUAUGCGAUUGGAUCUGAAGCUUAUCUCAUUCUGUUUUCAAGAUUUUCCUUAUUCUCCUUCCUUCUGUGAUGUCUGUUGUUGAACUUUUGGCUACAGGGAAGAUCACUUAGACUUGAAAUUUCCUGUAUUGGUCGUUAUCAGCUGUUCGUAAUUUUUGGAUCAUUUGCUUAUAGGGAAUUUAAGUUCAGCGUUCAAGUGGUUGGAAAAUCUUGGUGAAGGAUUCCAAUGUGCUUUUAAUUUUUCCCUUUUGUUUAUCUGGAUGAGAAGAGGUUACUCUUGAAAAUAUUUGGUUGGAAGGUCAAUCAGGUCUGGAUUCUCAUGUGGACGUUGCCGAAUUUUUUCUAAAUUCUCGUAACAUUUCAUCAAGGUUGCAAAGUGAGAGAUAGACUAGAUCUCUGUUUUGACAACUAAGUGAUAGAUAGACUUAAUCUUCACAUAUCUUCUUAUUUGUUUUAUCUUCAACUAUCUUCCCAAUAACUAAUGACUACUAGUGUCCUGUUUUACCUUGGUUCCAUGCUAUCUGAUAUUUCAUGGCUUUCUUCUUGGUGCGGCUGUUGUUGAGGUUUACAUAGAAGGUUCAAUUCUUUUUUUUUUUUUGUCGUCCGUUUGUGUGCUGCUUUCAGCUUUACUGAAAUUUGCUAUUCCUUUGGUGCUUAUCUUUGGGAAUUUACCGGAAUUUCACCCAGUGAAUCCUUCAAGCUCAAAGCUUCCUUAUGCUGCAGGUAUUUGAAGGCGUUCUCGAUAUGAUGUGCGCGAUUUGAAUAGUACAUUGUGGUUUUUUUGUCAGGGUAUUUAUCAUCUUCUCAAGCUCAUGAGAUUUAUUAUGGUCCCGUUUCUGGUUGUGUGACCAGGAGAUCAAGUAAUUAUUCAACCCUGCAGCUUGCUCUUUUGUUGGACUUCAGGAAUAUGCUAAAUUCAGAUGGUUAUAUAAUUAGAUGGAGGGAGUUCAUUUUCCAGUUACGAGCUUGCAACCAUGGUUAGAUCCUGUCCGCCCCAAGGAAAAGGGAGUUCCUUCUCUCUUCACUUACAUGUGUGAUGAUUUUGUGGGUGGGCUAGGAUUGUGCUGACUUUGAAGUUGUACGUGGUCCCUGCUUUCUAGCUUUCUGUGCUUUUGGUGUUGGAAGUUUCAUAGCAUUGUGAAUGGGACCUAUUACAUGAUGGGUUCACUGAUGAUGAUUAAUAGAAUUUCAGCCCUUGUUUUAUGGUUUAUGUGCUGGCUUCAUAGUUAUUUGUUUCCUAAGAUGUUCCUGCCAUUCAGCAGCUGCAUUGAGUUCUUUUUUAUGUCGGAGAGUUGUAUGGCUACCUAUAAGAGGAAAACAUGAUAUUCUAAAUUCUGUGUUGCGGAUGUAUGCAUGCCAAUUAUGUGUAUUGCCAUUUGAUACCCGAGUCAUGUUUGAUCACACGUUGGUGGGGUAGCAUCCAUUACAUGAAAGCUGGACAACUGCUCUAUUUGUAGUAAGUUGAUUAGUUUUCUUUGAACAUCCCUUGUUUCCAAAUUAAGGAUAGAAACUUGUGGUUGAAACGAUCUAAAUAGAUACGUUCUUUUCGUUUUCUGAACCGUUGGCUGUGGUUACUGAAAGAAUGAAUGUCUAAGUCGUGGCUGUUCUUAGCAGGACUCUGACCUGACAUUUCUGUGCUAUUUGGAAAGCGAGGCUCGCUUUCAAUUCUGUAAAAUAUAUUUUUGUGACUCUUGUUCAACACAAAAAAAAAGAAAAGGAGAACGAUCUUUCAAGUAGCCCUCACUAAGGUUUAGCUCGUGAGGUGCUUUAGAUGCACGUGGUUCCAAGUUAAUGCCAGAUAAAAAGGAUUUCGGUUUUAGUUUUCCAUGCAAUGGCUCAGGACGAGGCGGUACUUGUGAUAUUUCGGCAUGGGACACAUUUUUAUUUGGCAGUUUUUUGGAUAUUAAAUACUAUUGGAUAGGUUACUUUUUAUUGGCAUUGGAAGUACACCACAUUAUGGCAGCGUAACAUUUCACAGUUUAAUGAAUCUUCCACUUAUUUGAUGGGCUGGUUACGGGAUUAUUUAUGGUUAAACUCUUCACAGCUUAUUAACGGAUAUAAUCCUUUUGGGAAGCGCGAAGAUGGAAGAGGUCGUAUAGAAGAAGCACGAAGGCAGAAGAUAUUGCAGGGGUGGUCAGUAGUACAUUAGUUGAUUCCUUGCAUGUUUACAAGCAAUUUAGAAGUAUGAUUCAGAGCCAACAAGCUGGUGGGGUAAAAAAGAUUUGAGUUUUGCCAGGGAAACCUCAAAUCAUCUUCUUCUUCACUGGCCUUGCUGGAGAAAAGAUACCGCCCAGAACUUGAGGUAGCUGGAAAUAUUUUUGGGUCCUCCUCCUUCAGGUGCCAUUACCAUUGCUAGGGGAAAAACAACAUUGUUGGAAAGAUAACGAUCGUGGAAAUUUUUUCGAAGGACCCAAAUCUGCUUUUCUUCCCUUGUCUCUUCUUCAAUUCAAAUGCACACCGUGGCCAGGAUAUGCCGGAAACACGGAGUGUUGCCAGAAUCUUCUUUUACGGUCAACACGUCUUCACCGUCUCUCUUUCAGUUAACUUUUCUUCAUGGUUGAUGUGUGUUUUCUCCAUUGGUUUUGUUUGCCGCGUCAACAAUAAGUUGAACAUGGGUUAGAAUUAUCAUAUUUGUGUUCAACACACACAUUUUGACAACAUAAGGUGCUUAAUAGGCAGGCUCUUGGAUGCAUUUCUUCUCUCUUGUUUUGUGCAACAUGGCCCUUGAAAAUGACAUUGUUGCCAUAGUUGACUUUCUGAGCUCACUACACAAUUUGUAAUGUGGAUCCACUGCGAUUAUCUCUACUGCACUUUCUUGCUGCUGAUAUUAAUAUAAUACUUUUAACAAUCAAAAAAUAGGUUGAGAUGUCUAAUUAAAAAUCCUAAACAAGCCUAAAAGGCCGCUAUUCUGCCUUUGGUAUAUUGAACUAGAAAAAGGAGCUAUGGAUAGUAUUCGAUCGGCGUGCUUUAACGUAUACUACUUGAUGUUUGAAAUGUUGAUUGUCAAAACCAAUUUUAUGACAGUGUUAAUAAUUUUUGGGAUUCAGACUAGAGUUAAAUGUUCGUAUGAUGUAUGAAAUCUUGUUAAAGCUAUAAUUAGUUACAGGCUUGAAAAACAGGUAAGUCAAUGCUUGAACAAUAUUCUGAUGCAAAACUAAGUGAGAUACCCUGUCUUGUUUCUUUUAUUUUGACGGUAUCAGUUUCUUUCAUUGUCAUACUAAGUUCUUUUCCUGUUUUGUAAUUUUCUGUUAGCGGAAAUUUGAUUACGGCAGCCAGUGCCUUUUUUAAUGUAUGCUGAUACCAAUUUAACUGAAGCCAAUGGCGCUGUGAUCUAUGGUUAUUUGGAAGUUACAAUUGUAUCAGAUUCAAUGGUGUUGACCAAUUCCGUAAACGAACUCAUGGCAGAUACUCUGCAAUGUGCACUGUCAUGGGAAGUCAACAACACUGUGGACCUACUAGUUAACUGGAGUCAACAUUUAGGAUCAAAUUCUCUUCAUGGAAGCUCUAACACGAUAGGUAGCGAGGAGUCUUAAUUGUUUUUUCAUGUAUAGUUCUGUUGGGGUGCAGAUCGGAUCUUCCCAAAAUAAUGCAUUUUUAGAGGAUUCGACACGGAUGGGCAUUUUGAAGAAUCCGCACAACAUAGCUAUUGUACACCAGUUUGGUAAACGGAUGAACUGGCACUUGGGUUCCUUUUUCAUGUAUUCUCCUUUUGGUUAUUAACAUGCUGUUAGGGGUUAUAGACAGCCUAAUCCCCCGCAAUGGACCUAUUAAUUAAGAAAAGAAAGGCUUUGGGACUCGUGCAAUGUGAUGUCUUAUUUCUUCUUUUCUUUUUCUUUUUUUCUGCCCGAGCCCGAGGAGAAUUUCGUAACAGAGCUGGGCAAUCAAUAGAAAAUGACCCCGCAAAGGGCUGCCCGAUAGAGGUGUUAUUUCUCAAGUUUGUUUUCAUUACAAGAUAAUCAGAAUAAGAGAUGAUUUUUUUGCUA